GUGUGUGUGUGUGUGUGUGUGUGCUUCCCUUCUUUUGGUUUUGCUGAUGUGAGAUUAUUUCCUGUUUUAAUGAGUGUAGUUAACCUCCUUGGGUUGGAAUUUUCCUUCUAGCACCUUUUGUAAGGCUGAAUUUGUAGAUAGAUGUUGUUUACAUUUUACUUUAUCGUGGAAUAUUUUCUCCAUUUAUGGUGAUUGAAAGUUUUGGUGUUAUAGUAGUCUGAGCUGGCAUCUGUGGUCUCUUAGAGUCUGCAGGACAUCUCUCCAGGCCCUUCUGGCUUUUAGGAUCUUUAUUGAGAAGUCAGACAGUUCUAAUAAGUCUGCCCUUAUAUGUUACUUGCAGCUUUUAAUAUUCUUUGUGUAGUGAUUUGUUCUAUGUGUAGUGAUUUGAUUAUUUUGUAACAGGGGUCUUUCUUUUCUGGUCCAAUCUACUUGUUGUUCUUUAUACUUCUUGUACCUUUUCUAGGUAUCUCCUUGUUUAAGUUAGGAACAUUUUGGUGAGACCAAUGAGUUUAUUGGACUUUCUUAAAGAACGUGGGGUGAGAGAUUAUAAAUAGGAACAUGUGUGACCCCAAAACAGCUGCAUCCCUGCAGAGUUUCACUCCACCAUGGAUGGAAACCUCAUGGAUCUCUGCUUUCAAUUAACCUUCUACUUACUAUACACUCUACCAUUUCCCAUGAUUGCUUGCAGAUGGGGGAUGGGCUGGAGGAACUGUAGCUGAAUCUUAGAUGAGGGUCUUGAGCCUUUCUUCCUCCAUCUACAAGGGGAUGUUAACCUCUAGGACCAUUAUAGAAGACUACCAUUGUCUUGUUCUGUUCUAGUUGCCAUGGCCGCUGGAGUGGAAAAGUACUAUAUAACAUAGAAACCCAUUGAAUCUCAGUGAGAAACAGUUGGGGUGACUUUGAAUAUGACUGGGAGUUGCUUCUGGGGUUUAGUGGGCAUUGUCCCAUAUUACUGUGCGCAAGAAAGACCAGUUUUUCUAAAUGUCAGCAGCACUUCCAAUUCAGAGUCAGAACUCCUUAAGACGUAUAGUCAACCUUAGCCUCUUGGCAGGCAAGGAACGUGCAACCUUAAAACAAGCAUGCCUUCUUCCUCUUGGUUGUUUUUCUGUCUAUAAAUAGAUUAGUGAUAUUCUAUCAGGGACUGCAGAUUCCUUUUGCUUUUGAAUAAGAAAUUUGCUUUAGUGAAGGGGGAAGAGAGCCAGCAGAUAUAUAGCUGUAAGUGCUGAGAAAAGUUCACUAUCUCAUUCUCUGCCUUGCCUGUGCUCAGUGUUUUGUACCUCUUUUUCUUUAUCCUCUGCAUUAGGAAAGGAGGGGGUGACUCAGUACACCUAAGUAAUAGCCUAGUAAGGGCUUCUUGGACCCUGCUGUAUUAUACCACUUCUCAAAUAUGCACCCCUCUCUUUGGCCAUGGCAUUGAUUGUGCAACUCUCAAUAGCAGGGAUUUUAGUAGAUACUACUGAACCCAGUAACCAACCAUCAGGGUUGCUGGAAGUUGGCCCUCCCUGGUAUCCUAUAGUAUAUCUUUGCCUCCGUUUAGGCUGCUGGCUGUUUCUGCAGGUGCUGUCAGUAGGUUUCCAUGUGGAGUUACAAAGCAGGACAGGACUUCCCCUGUGUUGAGAUAAGACCAUGUGUCUCAGCCUGCUCUAUUCUCAAAUGAAAGGUUGCUGAAUCUGUUAAGAGUUAUCAUUUCUUCUGGUUCUUUUUGACACUUUUUUUCCUGAUACUGAUCUUUAUGAAAUGCUCCCAAAGAUUAGGAAUAGAAGCUGUUGAGGGUAAAGUUAAAGUGGAGAGCGAUAAGACCUAUUCUUCUGAACUUACCUUUUCUGUCCAUUUAAUAGCUGGGUAUUAGCAAUAGAGUGUUUGAACACAUGC
rnacentral:lncRNA from 1 species